UCCAUCCGAGGACCCGGGAGAAACAGCUUCAUUGCGGGGAAAAGUGUACAUAAUCAGAGAAUUGAACGUCUCUGGCGAAAUGUGUUCACGGCAGUCACAUGCCGCUUCUAGAGUGUUCUGCACCAGCUGGAGGGGGAUGGUCUCCUUGACCUGUCCAGUAGUGUUCAUCUCUUCUGCUGCCAUUAUGUUUUUAUUCCACGACUGCAGGCCCAGCUUGAUGUAUUCAGAGAUGGCUGGGACAAUCACCCCCUUUCAACUGAGAGAAAUCUCACUCCCAAGCAACUUUGGCACAUGGGUCCACAGCACAACUCCGAAGAGUACAAUGAGGAUUUGCACAUCCCUAUGAUUGACUGGAAAGUUAUUGGUCUUAUACCCUGUUAUCCCAACUGUGGUGUCCAUGUCCCUGAGAGUGACUGUCCUUUGAGUCCUGAUGACCUGGCUGGACUUAGAGUUGCUGUGGACCCAAUGGAACCCUCAACAUGCAUGGGGGUAGAUAAAUAUUUAGAUGCACUGGACUAUUUGCAAAACAUUGGCUAUGUGUAGGGCCAUCAUGAACUAAUUCUCCAUCUAAUCAAAUAAACACAACUGUAUGAU